rnacentral:lncRNA from 1 species
UAAGUUUUCAAUUCCUUCGAUAUAAAUGCAGAUCUUCGGUACUAGUGAAUAUAUUCUGCCAAACUGAUAAGGGAAUCAAAAGGAGAGGUCUACACAUGGAUAAGCCAAUAUAACUCUGGAAUAUUCAGCUAUUAAGGUUUCAGUUCUCGGGUUUCCUUGCAAGUGGAGCUCACCUUCUAUGACAUUUUCGAUGGAAAAUGGGAGAUUACAAGAUCUAACAUAGUAGAGCAUUCGGGUAAUCCAAGAAUGCCCCAAUUUCUUAUCAAUACUCAGAAGUUUAUCAUAUGAGGUCUAUAUUGGACCUCGAAAGAAAAGCACGACAAUUCCAACCUCCAUCUCUAGAAAUUUUCUCAUUCUUAAUCUUACUAGUAAUUUUUUUGGUUUAACACGAAACUCACAGCUUUUUGAUCUGUAAGAAGCCAGAUUUUUUUUUUUAUCAGAAAAUGCUUCCAAUUUCGUACAGCUUCAACAAUUGUGUAAGCUUUAUUUUCUACUGCAGAAUGAUGCAUCUCAGACAUAUUCAACGAUCUCGAAAAGAAAAAUUCCAAAUGGACUCAAGAAACCCUCAAUCGCACCAUCCGAAGCAUCUGUCUCUACUGUUAAUCUUGUCAUAGGAUCAAUAACCAUGAUGACUGCAUUUCCAAUGCCCUUCAUAACUAUUUGCAAAAACCUCUUACAGUUCUGUAUUUGAAGGGUAAUCUUGAGGGUGUACAAUUUGAGAAAGAGGGUAUCCAUCGAGAAUAAUACGCAAAUAUCCCCAAAAUACGUCGUAACUCUUUCUUAUUCAUAGGCUAAGGAAUUAUCAUGAAUGAUUCCAGACUAUCUGGAUCCGGUUUCAUCAUACCAUUUUCUAUCGGACACCACAAAAGCUCUGUUUUGUUGUUGAAUAUUCGCAUUUAUUCUCAUUCAUUGUCAAACAAUCUUAUCUGAAGCUCUCAUAAAAGUUUUUAGAUUCUUAUCGUGCUCAUUUUGAUCUUUUGCAUAGAUAGUAACGUCAUCAAUAUUUAAACUGCACCGCCCCCAAUUUCUGAGCAUCAAGAACUCUUUCAAAUAUGCUAUAAUACACCACCGCCAUUGGGUUGUGUAGACGAACUGCUGGGCAGAGUUAACUUAAAUUUAUCGUCCGCCGCUACCUCGAGCAUUCUGAUAAUAUCCGAAAUACACCCCGCCCUCAGGUUGUACAGGUGAAGUAUCGGCCCUCAAGGCAGUUUAAGCACUACCACCACCCAAUUUCUAAGCACCAAGAACUCCAUCAAAUAUGUUAGAAUACGCUCACACUCACGGGUUGUGAGCUGUUGGUCCCUGAGGUAGGUUAAAUUCUUCCACCGCCGCUUCCCUGAGCAUCAAAUAACCCGUCUAAUAUCCAAAAUACACCUCAAACCUCAAGUUGUAAAGGUGAAGUGCUAAAAAUGCUAUUUAAAGGCCACCAUAGCCCCAUGGACCCCCAAAAAAAAAAAAAAAAAAAAAAUGUUACCAGAACCGUUUCUGGAGCGAUAAGAACCUCCAUGAAAAUUUUUACGGAAAAUCCAUUUUCUAAAGAAGAUCUUCGUCUCCUUCCUGUUUCUGAUACUUUCAUUCCAAUGAUGGAAGCUGUUCUCAAUAACUAAUAUGAAAAGGCUCUUCUUAUGACUUGUAAUGGCCUGGAAUAAUACUCCUAUCCUUUUAGAACCAUAUAAAUUCAGAUAAGACUCGAGUAAUUUUGACUUGAAUAUAACUCUUGAUACUCACUCAUUCUCUAAGAAGAAACUUUAUCCAUGGUCAAUAAAAUAAAUAUGACCUAUAAAAAGAAUCCUUGUCAUUAUUGUGUAAUUAAAGUCUAAUCAUAUAUAUAUUCAUAAUAGUUUUUCUUCAAUUAUUGAAAUUAAAGUAAAGUUCAUAUUUUUUAAAGUAAUAUUAGAAAAAUAUGAUAAAUUAAUAAAGAUUUUUAGUUAUAUCAGUACUUUGAGAGUCUGAACUCUUUGAUGCCUCCAUGUUGUAAUAAAAUUAUUCAUUCAAUAUAAA